rnacentral:rRNA from 1 species
GGGUUGUGAGGUUAAGCGACUAAGCGUACACGGUGGAUGCCCUGGCAGUCAGAGGCGAUGAAGGGCGUGCUAAUCUGCGAUAAGCGCCGGUAAGGUGAUAUGAACCGUUAUAACCGGCGAUACCCGAAUGGGGAAACCCAGUGUGAUUCGUCACACUAUCAUUAACUGAAUCCAUAGGUUAAUGAGGCGAACCGGGGGAACUGAAACAUCUAAGUACCCCGAGGAAAAGAAAUCAACCGAGAUUCCCCCAGUAGCGGCGAGCGAACGGGGAGGAGCCCAGAGCCUGAAUCAGCAUGUGUGUUAGUGGAAGCGUCUGGAAAGGCGCGCGAUACAGGGUGACAGCCCCGUACACAAAAGCGCAUGUGCUGUGAGCUCGAUGAGUAGGGCGGGACACGUGGUAUCCUGUCUGAAUAUGGGGGGACCAUCCUCCAAGGCUAAAUACUCCUGACUGACCGAUAGUGAACCAGUACCGUGAGGGAAAGGCGAAAAGAACCCCGGCGAGGGGAGUGAAAAAGAACCUGAAACCGUGUACGUACAAGCAGUGGGAGCACCCUUUUGGGUGUGACUGCGUACCUUUUGUAUAAUGGGUCAGCGACUUAUAUUCUGUAGCAAGGUUAACCGAAUAGGGGAGCCGGAGGGAAACCGAGUCUUAACCGGGCGUUAAGUUGCAGGGUAUAGACCCGAAACCCGGUGAUCUAGCCAUGGGCAGGUUGAAGGUUGGGUAACACUAACUGGAGGACCGAACCGACUAAUGUUGAAAAAUUAGCGGAUGACCUGUGGCUGGGGGUGAAAGGCCAAUCAAACCGGGAGAUAGCUGGUUCUCCCCGAAAGCUAUUUAGGUAGCGCCUCGUGAAUUCAUCUCCGGGGGUAGAGCACUGUUUCGGCUAGGGGGCCAUCCCGGCUUACCAACCCGAUGCAAACUGCGAAUACCGGAGAAUGUUAUCACGGGAGACACACGGCGGGUGCUAACGUCCGUCGUGAAGAGGGAAACAACCCAGACCGCCAGCUAAGGUCCCAAAGUCAUGGUUAAGUGGGAAACGAUGUGGGAAGGCCCAGACAGCCAGGAUGUUGGCUUAGAAGCAGCCAUCAUUUAAAGAAAGCGUAAUAGCUCACUGGUCGAGUCGGCCUGCGCGGAAGAUGUAACGGGGCUAAACCAUGCACCGAAGCUGCGGCAGCGACACUCAGGUGUUGUUGGGUAGGGGAGCGUUCUGUAAGCCUGUGAAGGUGUGUCGUGAGGCAUGCUGGAGGUAUCAGAAGUGCGAAUGCUGACAUAAGUAACGAUAAAGCGGGUGAAAAGCCCGCUCGCCGGAAGACCAAGGGUUCCUGUCCAACGUUAAUC